rnacentral:lncRNA from 1 species
CCCUCCGCUUCUCAUACGACUCGGGCUCUGCAGGGGUCUGAUAAGUUAGCCCUACCUCAGAGUCAUCGAGGUUUUCUCAAGGGCUGGUAAGUUAGCCCUAUGGAGGUUCCCUCAAGGAUCUCCAUCUGCUUCUCGUGUGACUCGGACUCUACAGAGGUCUGCUAAGUUAGCCCCACCUCGGAGUCACCGAGGUCUUCUCGAGAGUCUGAUAAGUUAGCCCUCACGAGUGGCAUUGUAUGUCUAUGACAAUCUUGUACCUACGAC